CAGCCGCCGCGGUAAUACGAAGGGGGCUAGCGUUGCUCGGAAUGACUGGGCGUAAAGGGCGCGUAGGCGGCGAUCAAAGUCAGGCGUGAAAUUCCUGGGCUCAACCUGGGGGCUGCGUUUGAUACUUGGUUGCUAGAGUGAGGAAGAGGGUCGUGGAAUUCCCAGUGUAGAGGUGAAAUUCGUAGAUAUUGGGAAGAACACCGGUGGCGAAGGCGGCGACCUGGUCCUUGACUGACGCUGAGGCGCGAAAGCGUAGGGAGCAAACAGGAUUAGAUACCCCAGUAGUCCCUGUCUCUUAUAC
rnacentral:rRNA from 1 species